rnacentral:rRNA from 1 species
GAUGAACGCUGGCGGCGUGCCUAAUACAUGCAAGUCGAGCGAACAGACGAGGAGCUUGCUCCUCUGACGUUAGCAGCGGACGGGUGAGUAACACGUGGAUAACCUACCUAUAAGACUGGGAUAACUUCGGGAAACCGGAUCUAAUACCGGAUAAUAUAUUGAACCGCAUGGUUCAAUAGUGAAAGACGGUUUUGCUGUCACUUAUAGAUGGAUCCGCGCCGCAUUAGCUAGUUGGUAAGGUAACGGCUUACCAAGGCGACGAUGCGUAGCCGACCUGAGAGGGUGAUCGGCCACACUGGAACUGAGACACGGUCCAGACUCCUACGGGAGGCAGCAGUAGGGAAUCUUCCGCAAUGGGCGAAAGCCUGACGGAGCAACGCCGCGUGAGUGAUGAAGGUCUUCGGAUCGUAAAACUCUGUUAUUAGGGAAGAACAAAUGUGUAAGUAACUAUGCACGUCUUGACGGUUCCUAAUCAGAAAGCCACGGCUAACUACGUG